GUAAUAGAUAUGUUCUUGAAACUUAAAAAAUUUGGCGGUAUUUUAGUCUAUUCAGAGGAACUUGUCCUAUAAUUGAUAAUCCACGUUGGACCUUACUUAAAUUUGUUAACAGUUUAUAUAUCGUCGUUAUCAGAAUAUUUUAUAAGAAUAAUAAUUUUCAAGAUUUUUAAUUAAAUUUUAUUUCAGAUCAAGGUGUAGCUUAUAUUUAAGUAGAGAUGAGUUACAUUAAAAAUAUUUAAAUGAAUAUUAAUAUGAAAAAAGGAUUGAAAGUGGAUUUGAAAGUAAAUUUAUAAAGAU
rnacentral:rRNA from 1 species